GAUGAACGCUGGCGGCGUGCCUAAUACAUGCAAGUCGAGCGAACAGAUGAGGAGCUUGCUCCUCUGACGUUAGCGGCGGACGGGUGAGUAACACGUGGAUAACCUACCUAUAAGACUGGGAUAACUUCGGGAAACCGGAGCUAAUACCGGAUAAUAUAUUGAACCGCAUGGUUCAACAGUGAAAGACGGUUUUGCUGUCACUUAUAGAUGGAUCCGCGCCGCAUUAGCUAGUUGGUAAGGUAACGGCUUACCAAGGCAACGAUGCGUAGCCGACCUGAGAGGGUGAUCGGCCACACUGGAACUGAGACACGGUCCAGACUCCUACGGGAGGCAGCAGUAGGGAAUCUUCCGCAAUGGGCGAAAGCCUGACGGAGCAACGCCGCGUGAGUGAUGAAGGUCUUCGGUUCGUAAAACUCUGUUAUUAGGGAAGAACAAAUGUGUAAGUAACUAUGCACGUCUUGACGGUACCUAAUCAGAAAGCCACGGCUAACUACGUG
rnacentral:rRNA from 1 species